UUAAACUGGCAACACUGGCAAUUUUCACAGAAGACUUUGAUAUAAACAAACGAAAACAAAUAAUUAAAUUCCAAUCCAACCAGCAAUGGAUCUCAAUAUGAAGCCUUCUCUAGCUGCCGAUGAGAUGUUUUCUGAGGGCCCCGGCUACAUGGAAAUGGACGAGUCUGGCGGCGCUACUGGCAUGAUGAUGACCAAUGAUAAACAUGUUCAUGCCGAUUUUUACAACAAUUUCGACGAUCUGUUUGAUGAGGACAAUUGGGCCAAAGUCAAGCAAACUGGCGACAAUCCCAAACAGUAGAUUAAGCACUGAAACCUUAUACGUAAGCCACCCUGGGCCAUGGGGACAAAUAUACAUGUAGGAGUAUAGGAUGUACAUACAAACAUUGCGGAAUUGGUUGGCUUGGCUGCUAUAAUAUAUUCAUUUGGUUCGUAUAACUAA